UGCAACCUACCUUCAACUGGGGGAUAGCCUUCCGAAAGGAAGAUUAAUACCGCAUAAAAUAAUUGAACGGCAUCGUUUAAUUAUCAAACGUCAGGGUUGAAGAUGGGCAUGCGUCCGAUUAGUUUGUUGGUGAGGUAACGGCUCACCAAGACUACGAUCGGUAGGGGAUCUGAGAGGAUGACCCCCCACACUGGUACUGAGACACGGACCAGACUCCUACGGGAGGCAGCAGUAAGGAAUAUUGGUCAAUGGACGCAAGUCUGAACCAGCCAUGCCGCGUGCAGGAAGACGGUCCUCUGGAUUGUAAACUGCUUUUGUUAGGGAAGAAACCCCUGGAUGCGUCCGGGGCUGACGGUACCUAAAGAAUAAGGAUCGGCUAACUCCGUGCCAGCAGCCGCGGUAAUACGGAGGAUCCAAGCGUUAUCCGGAUUUAUUGGGUUUAAAGGGUGCGUAGGCGGCGUUGUAAGUCAGUGGUGAAAGUUUGCAGCUUAACUGUAAAAUUGCCAUUGAUACUGCAGUGCUUGAGUACAGAUGAGGUGGGCGGAAUGUGUCAUGUAGCGGUGAAAUGCAUAGAUAUGACACAGAACACCGAUUGCGAAGGCAGCUCACUAAACUGUAACUGACGCUGAGGCACGAAAGCGUGGGGAUCAAACAGGAUUAGAUACCCUGGUAGUCCACGCCCUAAACGAUGAUUACUCGAUGUUAGCGAUAUACAGUUAGCGUCAAAGCGAAAGCGUUAAGUAAUCCACCCUGGGGAGUACGCCGGCAACGGUGAAACUCAAAGGAAUUGACGGGGGCCCGCACAAGCGGAGGAGCAUGUGGGUUUAAUUCGAUGAUACGCGAGGAACCUUACCCGGGCUUGAAAGUUAGUGAAUGAUUCAGAAUGAGUCAGUCCGCAAGGACACGAAACUAGGUGCUGCAUGGCUGUCGUCAGCUCGUGCCGUGGAGGUGUUGGGUUAA
rnacentral:rRNA from 1 species